GCCAGCCUUGCAGAUGUCAUCAGAUGAAGAGAAAGAAAGUCAUGAAGGAAAUAAAAAUAAACAGUCACAGGUUAAAAAACAAAGGAAGAAGUGUGAAGCUAAUGAGAUAGAAGUAUCUAAAUACCUCUGUGAUUUUGCAACUGAUGACAGUGAUGAUGAUGGAUUUACUCAAAAAAGAAAGGCUGGAGAAACCUACAAUCAGCAGUUUUCUAGGAAGGAGAAUGAAAAGUGGGACAGGUGA